CCUGCUGGUUCCACUCCACCACCCUCCAGAACAGGACCCGCCUGCAGAGCACGGUCACAGUCUGCUCUAAGAUCAUUGGACUACCUGUAAGGACUCUGACAUCGAUCUAUGAGCAACAGACAAUCAGGCUAGCAGGUCAGGUCAUGCAGGACCCCUCACACGCUCUCUUCCGAGCGUUUGAGCAGCUCCCCUCAGGACGCCGGCUUCGCUGUCCCUGCUGCAGGACACAGAGGAGAAGAGCAACCUUUGUUCCCAGGGCUCCUCUGCUUUAUCUGGUCUCAUGCACUACAUCACUUUAUUCUAUCCUUUUUAUAUCAGUAUUCAUACAGUUCUGGUUAAUUUAUUCCUGUUGUUUCUUAUCCAUCAUUGCACUACGGUCACUUUAUUUAUCUCAUUUUUACCUUUUCAGUUAUAUUGUUUAUAUUAGUUCUGUUGUUCCACCUUAUUAACUUAUCAUUUAGUAUUAGACUACCUGCACAUAGCUCUGUAUAUAUAUAUGUAUUUCUCGUUUACUGCACAUAGUUCUGUUUACAUCUGUUUACAUCUGUUAGUCCGAUCACUGUCCACUUAUAUCUACUCUUUUAUGUUUUGUAUUUUUAAGUUAAGUUUGAGCUUUAAGUUGUAUUUAAAUUGACACUUUAUAUUUAGGUUAAAAUGUUUCGUCUACUUGCACUGUUGUUAAUUUACUGCUCUGUGUGCCUUUGAAUUGCCCCCCGGGGACAAAUAAAGUUUUUUGAAUUGAA